AUGAGGGCUGAACUGGUGAAGAGAUACCUCAUUCUUGGUUUUCUCACAUUCACAACCCUAAUUUUUCUGUGGAGUACACUCAUAACAGUUGUAGGUAGAGAAGGAAAGAUGGAGAAAUUGAUCACCGUGCAGAUGAUGCAAAAACCCCCAAGCCCGCCACCGCCACCACCAAGUGUGCCGUCAGGGCCUUGGCCUUGAUGCAGUAGCGGAGUCAAGAAAUGAAUAGAGAAGGGACAAGAUAUGUAAGAAGGGUAGAAAAUCAAUAAAGUCAUCACAUUGCUCACUACUACUAAUGAAUGAGCUCUUUUCAAUAUUCUCUAAUGAGGGGUUCAAAUCCCGUUAGAGUCAAAUUUAUAAAAUAAAAUAAAACAAAUCAUUUUUUUUUUUUUUUUAAUUUUAUGAGGGAAAGUACCUCUUCUGGGUACUAUCUGGCUUCUACUGUCUUGAUGGGCAUUUCAUGAGUUUCAUGUAUGUAUCACAGCAUUAGAAUUCAUUGUUAUCUUUACAUGAAGAAUGAAUAAUAGCUAUGCUCAAGGUUAUAUA